GCCCGAUAUGUUUGAUAAAUAUUUACACGUGAAUUUAUAGCAAUGUUUGUACGAAAUAAGCUAAAACGCAUAGAGUUAAAUGUCUUUUUUUUUAUUGUUGCACAAGUAAAAACAUAUAAAUUGCAAAGCAAAUCUAGAGUCGUUCCCAGACUUUUAUCUUUUUGUAUUCAGUUUGAUUUUCAGCAUUUUGAAAGUAAACAUAAAUUCAAAGCUUCGCG
rnacentral:lncRNA from 1 species